UACGGGGGGGGGCAAGCGUUGUUCGGAAUUACUGGGCGUAAAGGGCGCGUAGGCGGCCUUCUAAGUCGAACGUGAAAUCCCUGGGCUCAACCCAGGAACUGCGUCCGAUACUGGGAGGCUUGAAUCCGGGAGAGGGAUGUGGAAUUCCAGGUGUAGCGGUGAAAUGCGUAGAUAUCUGGAGGAAUACCGGUGGCGAAGGCGGCAUCCUGGACCGGCAUUGACGCUGAGGAGCGAAAGCUAGGGGAGCAAACGGG
rnacentral:rRNA from 1 species